rnacentral:lncRNA from 1 species
GUUUUCUUCACUGCAUGAUUUAGCAGUGCUCUUGCAGAUAAUGUGGCACAAGGUGAGCUUGCUGAAAUCAGCCAGUCAAGGACUAUUGCACGGCUCGCAAUGCAACAGAAAGUUGUGAGGGUAUCAGCCACCGCGAGCCUUUAUCAAACUGUGAUCAGACAGGGAAAGGCACACAAUAGAUGUCUAAAGGUUUGAGUUUUGUAACAGAGUUCUAUGAAGUAGGAAAACAAAACAGAUCACCACCAAGAGAAGCAAGAGAUGAAGAGGCUGCCUGCAGUGCCUGUGGCCCCCACCAAAAUACCAGCCUCACACGCUCCAGGUCUGAGGAGCUCAGGCCAGGAGGAGCUUUUCUUGUCUGCUCAUGUUUACAAGACUUCCCAGCAGAAAGUGGAGUGAUAAAACUGUUAAUAUCUCUCUAACUAAAUUUUUUCAUAAUAAAAAUAGAUUUACAAGUUCGAC